rnacentral:tRNA from 1 species
GCGCCAGUGGUUUAAUGGCGUAGAGCAUUCCCGCCCGGUCAGAGGGAGGUGCGGGUUCGAGUCCCGCCUGGCGCU